UAAAUUAUAACAAAUCAAGUUACCAUUGGUUAAUUCAAAACUUACGAGAUAAGAACUAUAUUUGUGAAGUAUGGAAGAAUAAAGAAAUAAGCAACAUACUUUUUAAUACAUGUGGAUGUACAACACAAUUUCAUAUCGCGUAAUGUAUGUUCAAAUUGUACUUAGGCCAAUUUUGUUACUUUAAUAUUUUUAGUAUUUUGUGAAAUUUGUUUUAAAUUAAUUUGGCUUAAAUUAGAAGCCAAAUUCGUAUAGCCCAUUUAGGAAG
rnacentral:lncRNA from 1 species